UUUCAGGCAAAAAAAGAUUGGGGAAUAAGAUGCUGAAUUUCGAAGAACACUGUAACAUAUUGAACUUGUUGAAAUCGUCAUCUGAGCAAAAAUCAAUCGAAGAAACAAUCAAUGAAUUCUUCAGCAAUUUCAAGCUCCGUUAUUUCAAUGUCUGCUAUUCUCGUACUUUUUUAUUGCAGCAGUUGAUUUCCGAUUUAUCCCACGGCAGUCCUUUUCUUUUUUGUUGUCUGAAGUACAUCUUACCCAAAUCAUACGAGGAUUCUCUUGUUCUUUUGAAUGUCUGUUGGAUGUUAGUACCUGAAAUAUCAGACUCUGGGUGGUUUCCACCAGCUGUGCUUGGAAUGCUUUCAACGGGAUAACUCGUGCCGAUAAAAUUAGCAGAAGAAGCGGGUUGAAUGUUUUUAUUAUCAGGGGGACAUGGAGGCAAAGGCGAAAAUGGGUGGAAAGGCAUGCCAGGGGCUAACCUCCAAGUUUCUAAACUUUCAUCUUAUGGUGAUCCAAACUGCUACAGAAAGAGGAGUGGUAUUCCAUAUGAAACCGACAAACGGGAUAUGAAUCUCUUCUGCUGAUGAACAACAACCACAUUAGGAAACUUUGACGGACAAACUUUUGGUUGAGGAAACCUGUAGCAGUUGGAGCAGCAGGUGAAACCAAAGAUGUAUUUAGAGGAAAGGAGAACCCUAGUGGAGCAUCCUGCUGAAAACUUUGAUUUGCAUUAUCAAUAUUAGUAGCUUCACCUUUGUGAUACACUUGGUUCUUUUGUAUAUGUUCCAUGUGAAGUGAUUAAGCAACGCAUGCAGGUUCAAGGCUCAGGAAACUCUAGGAAUUCUGCUAUCAUGAAUGACCAAUUGCGAAUGAAAUCUGGUGAACAAAUGUAUGGUUAUUACACUGGAAUGUUCCAAGUUGGAUGUUCAAUAUGGAAAGAGCAAGGACUAAAGGGAUUAUAUGCUGAGUCAAGGUCGUCGAUUCUUGGUGAGCCGUUAUUACAAAAGGUUAAAGAGAGCUGCACUCGUCGCACAAUGUGCUUGGAGAGCAAAACUUGCGCGUAGAGAAUUACGCAAACUAAAAAUGGCUGCCCAGAAAACUGAAUCCCUGCUAGAGGCCAACUGUCAGCUGGAAAAAGCAAGUUGAAGAACUUACAUGGCAGUUGCAGAAGUUGCAACGUGAGAAGGAAAAUUGGGGCGCAAACAAAACUUCCGGAAAAGUUCCUGUCACUCAAGGGGUCACGGUAGUUGACAAUGAAACGAUGAAUAAACUUACUACUGAAAAUGAACAGCUUAAGGCUCAGGUAGCUACACUAGAACAGAUUUGCGAAGUGCGGCUAAAGCAGGCUACAGAGGCUGAGAUGAGGAUAAUUGACUUAAAAACUGCGAUGCAAAGAAGACAAGAUUUCAGACAUGGAAACCGAGGAUAAGGUUUUGAGACAGCAAGCUUUGUUGAGUGCACCUAGUAGAAAAAUGUCAUCUCAAUUGUCAUUUACAAUACCUGCACCUGUGCAAAAUGCUC